GACGAACGCUGGCGGCGUGCUUAACACAUGCAAGUCGAACGGAAAGGCCCUGCUUUUGUGGGGUGCUCGAGUGGCGAACGGGUGAGUAACACGUGAGUAACCUGCCCUUGACUUUGGGAUAACUUCAGGAAACUGGGGCUAAUACCGGAUAGGAGCUCCUGCUGCAUGGUGGGGGUUGGAAAGUUUCGGCGGUUGGGGAUGGACUCGCGGCUUAUCAGCUUGUUGGUGGGGUAGUGGCUUACCAAGGCUUUGACGGGUAGCCGGCCUGAGAGGGUGACCGGCCACAUUGGGACUGAGAUACGGCCCAGACUCCUACGGGAGGCAGCAGUGGGGAAUAUUGCACAAUGGGCGGAAGCCUGAUGCAGCAACGCCGCGUGCGGGAUGACGGCCUUCGGGUUGUAAACCGCUUUCGCCUGUGACGAAGCGUGAGUGACGGUAAUGGGUAAAGAAGCACCGGCUAACUACGUGCCAGCAGCCGCGGUGAUACCUAAGGUGCGAGCGUUGUCCCGAUUUAUUGGGCGUAAAGGGCUCGUAGGUGGUUGAUCGCGUCGGAAGUGUAUCUUGGGGCUUAACCCUGAGCGUGCUUUCGAUACGGGUUGACUUGAGGAAGGUAGGGGAGAAUGGAAUUCCUGGUGGAGCGGUGGAAUGCGCAGAUAUCAGGAGGAACACCAGUGGCGAAGGCGGUUCUCUGGGCCUUUCCUGACGCUGAGGAGCGAAAGCGUGGGGAGCGAACAGGCUUAGAUACCCUGGUAGUCCACGCUGUAAACGGUGGGUACUAGGUGUGGGGUCCAUUCCACGGGUUCCGUGCCGUAGCUAACGCUUUAAGUACCCCGCCUGGGGAGUACGGCCGCAAGGCUAAAACUCAAAGGAAUUGACGGGGCCCCGCACAAGCGGCGGAGCAUGCGGAUUAAUUCGAUGCAACGCGUAGAACCUUACCUGGGUUUGACAUGGAUCGGGAGUGCUCAGAGAUGGGUGUGCCUCUUUUGGGGUCGGUUCACAGGUGGUGCAUGGCUGUCGUCAGCUCGUGUCGUGAGAUGUUGGGUUAAGUCCCGCAACGAGCGCAACCCUUGUUCACUGUUGCCAGCACGUUAUGGUGGGGACUCAGUGGAGACCGCCGGGGUCAACUCGGAGGAAGGUGGGGAUGACGUCAAGUCAUCAUGCCCCUUAUGUCCAGGGCUUCACGCAUGCUGCAAUGGCUGGUACAGAGAGUGGCGAGCCUGUGAGGGUGAGCGAAUCUCGGAAAGCCGGUCUCAGUUCGGAUUGGGGUCUGCAACUCGACCUCAUGAAGUCGGAGUCGCUAGUAAUCGCAGAUCAGCAACGCUGCGGUGAAUACGUUCCCGGG
rnacentral:rRNA from 1 species